rnacentral:lncRNA from 1 species
CAGCCCGUUCUCUUUCUACAGAUGCUGACACUUGACGAUCUCUUUAUGUAGCUUUUUAUUUUUAUUUUAGACUUCUUAAAAUUUUAACUUAAUAUAAUAAAAUGAUAAAAUUUAUUUAUAGAUUUAUUGUAUAAAUUUUUUAUUUUUAUUUUUUAUUUUUAAUUUAAAAAGUAUUAUAAAUAUAAAUUAAAAAUCUAUAUUUACAAAUUAUUUUAAAAAAAUAUGUGUA